AUACGGAGUUGAUUUCCACCAAGUCACAAUUGCAUCUCUAGUGACGCUUUCGCUAUUUCACUCUUCACAUUGGUUGCCAGUGCCAGGAUGAAAGUUACCAUGGGCAGCUGCGAAUUCUUUACAUGCUCACAUGGUGGCAUGCGACUAAAAAUGUUUGUGAAAUUUGGAAACAACUUUCAAUCAAACUUUACCACAUCAACACCUAGAAAAAGUAGCUACAGAAAUAUAAGGGCAG
rnacentral:lncRNA from 1 species